ensembl:lncRNA
GGUGCAAAAGUGGCCUAUUGGUAAGUAUACGUUCUCUCGGCCGAUAUACAUCCUAUAUGUCUGGCCUCAUACUUGGUACUGCACAAAAUGGUGAAUUUAAAAAUACACCUGCCUUCAAGAGCUGAAAUCCAGGAAAGAGACAGACACUAAAGAGGAAGGAGCUAGAAGUCACAUGGUGCCAGAUCUGGAGAAUAAAGUGGAUGAGGACAUGCCAUGAUGUUUUUACCUGCUUUUGCAUUGGAUGCCAUGGGGCAGCAGAAUUCACCAUAUUUUUUUUAAUCACAACUUGUAAAGACAAUCACACAGUAGGACUUCCAGGACUGCUUCAGAAACUGGCAAGAACAAUGGGAUAAUCGUGUUUGAAGUGAGUGGGAGUAUUUUGAGGGGGAUUAAUGGCAAUGUGUCUUCUACUGUACUAUAUUUUUAAAAUUUAAACAGUCACCAUGUAUUUGACCACAUGGUACAUAGUCUAAGAAGGCAAACUCUCUGGUGAAUGUGCUCUACUUCCUCAGAGACAAGGGGUCUAAUAAAUCCAACCCACCAAAUCCCUCUCUGAUCUGAGCUUUUAGAAGGAAUGAAGAUUGACAUGUGAGAGACUCAUGUGGAGCCCGGAGCAAGAAGAAGGUUCUAGAGACUUCUGACCAAGCAGGAGAAGCUGGAGAGAGAACAGUUGUUCUAGUUUGAUGGCUGGUUCUGGAAUAUUCAGGGACAGUGAGUGGAUCUUUCAGGACGCUUCUGCUCUGCCUCCUGCUGAGGAUGGUGUCCGGGCUCAUUAGCACUCCCACUAGGGGCGAGCUCUGGCUGGGAGGAGAAGUGAGAGCAGUCAAUUUUGCCACUCAUUAGCAACUCUGGGCAGACAGUGGUGGGAGAUUGAAGCUAUUGGCAAAAUGAGAAGUUUGCUGCUCUGUGGGCACAGUCAGCCAUUCUAGUCCUUUCGGCCUCAGUCAGUCACCCGGAGUGGAUUAUCUGCUGGUCUCACAGAGCAAUGAGCAAGACAAUGUUGCUUAAAGUAUUAGUAACUUCGUGUAGUAACUCGGAGUCAAUUAGCUGCCCCAAGGUGACAUCAAUUAUAAUGAAGUGAAGUGAAAUUGACAGAUAAAGUGCACCAGAUGGUUUGUUAAGUGCGCUUUUCUUCUCAACCACCCUAUAAGCAGAAUACUCAUUAUUUAUAUGCAAAGCAUGGGGCUGGAGGCUGGAAAUCUAACAAAG